AUUGAACGCUGGCGGCAUGCUUUACACAUGCAAGUCGAACGGGGUGGGGGGCAACUCCCAUUCGGUGGCGAACGGGUGAGUAAUGCAUCGGAACGUAUCCCGUAGUGGGGGACAACGCCGCGAAAGCGGCGCUAAUACCGCAUAUGCUCUACGGAGGAAAGUGGGGGACCUGAAAGGGCCUCACGCUAUGGGAGCGGCCGAUGUCCGAUUAGCUAGUUGGUGGGGUAAUGGCCCACCAAGGCGACGAUCGGUAGCUGGUCUGAGAGGAUGAUCAGCCACACUGGGACUGAGACACGGCCCAGACUCCUACGGGAGGCAGCAGUGGGGAAUUUUGGACAAUGGGGGCAACCCUGAUCCAGCCAUGCCGCGUGCGGGAAGAAGGCCUUCGGGUUGUAAACCGCUUUUAGUCGGGAAGAAAAGGCAUCUCCUAAUACGGGGUGUUCUUGACGGUACCGGCGGAAUAAGCACCGGCUAACUACGUGCCAGCAGCCGCCGUAACAC
rnacentral:rRNA from 1 species